ACGCGACCACGAUAAAGUAAAUACUAACUACUAAGUAAUAUUAUUUACUUUAAAGUGUAGGUACUCGAUGUUGACCAAUAUUCACAGAGCAGAUUAUUUAUCUUUAGUUUUCAUUCGAACAAUUAGGAAAUUAUUUUUUCAAUAUUUACAUUGUAUUAUUAGGUAUUUACCACCUAGGUUAUUGGAUAAUUGAACAUUAUGUGUUCAAAUAAUUACUGUUUUCUAUUGUUGUACGUUGAUGCUUAUAGUGUGUUCAUUAAAAUAACGAUUGUAUAGACGGAAAUUCUUUCGAUAAACAUAGUUGAAAUAAAUAACAAUUUGCAUCUAAAAUUCUUUGUGAAACUGACUCUAUUAUCAGACAAAAUGUUUUUAUAUACAUCGAAAACGAGCUCUCCAUCCACUGAAGUGAUCGAUGCCAAGUACUUCGUACAAGCUGUUUCAUAUAAAUCAAACUCAUAAAAGAGCUUACAUUUUAUAGCAAAAUAAAUACUUAAAAAAUCAUUUUAAGUAGACGAAAAAAAUCAAAAACUGCAUUUAUUAAAUUUAGUUCUAAAAAGAAAACAAAUUUACGACCAUAUUAUAUAGUCAAGCUAUUUUUUCCAGAACUCAUCCUAUUAGGUUCUAAUAUAUUUUUGUACAUAAAAAUAAUCUUUCAAGAUUAAAUGAAGUAAUUGGUGCAUAUAAUGCAUAUUUAAUAUAAACUAAAUCAUACUGUUAAAUUGUAUAGAACACUGUACCUACUAAACUGAUUGACAUUUACCAAUUAACUAAAGUAUUAGAAAGUGCUAUAAGAAUAUACUGAUAUACAAAUAAUUCUCCUUUUCCUUAAGUUGUAAA